AUGUUUCUACAGCCAAUCAGACUCACAUGCUGGGGAUAGAGUGUUUCUACAGCCAAUCAGACUCACAUGCUGGGGAUAGGGUGUUUCUACAGCCAAUAAUACGCGAUUGUUCCAACCAGACCCGCCUUCUGCUGGUGACGCUUUCAUUUCAGUACAGGAAAUAGAGAGGUUUGUUUUGUUCAUGUGUGGAGAGGUGGUUGCAGUCAGUGAUGAUUUUACAACACGCUGUCUCCUGCUGUUUAAAGUAUUUAUGCUGGGAUGAAAUGUUUUUAAUAUUUUGUGAUUUUUGUGUUUGUUUAUCACCUGCACAGAGUUCCGUGAAAAGGAAAGCAUCCCUUUUCUGUGUUGAAUUUCACACACAGAGCGGAGCGCGUCAGUCGCAGCUACAGACAAGUCGAGCUUUUCAAUGAGAUGAUUUACUGAGAAACAAACGCGUUGAAGCUCCAGCAGAGCUCUGCGCGAUUCUGAAAGACCAAAGUAAAGUUACUCCUUGCAAAGCAUGUUGUUUGUGUUCUUUCUUUAUCACAACAGAAGAAGUGAUGAAUAUAUUUGAAUGGGAAGGCUACAGUACAAAAUAAAUAUUAAUAAAUAAAAACCGCAGGCGGUGUUUCUGAUUGAAAAGAGGAUUCCGCUAGACCAGUGUGAAACUCAAACCAGUGAAGAUGGACGCGUCAGCGUGUCCGUGUCGCUCUCAAGACGAGCUCGCCUCUACCAUCGAGCACGCAGUGAAAGCGGCUCUACACACCGUCUUGUGCGCGAUUACUAAAGCUGUCGGCAGCAAAUUCACUGAAUUCAGAGUGGAAAUGGAACAAAAAGGAGAAAGAGAAUGAAAGUCUGAAGCUGAGAUUGGAAAUAUCAGAGAGCGAGCUGAAAGCAGUGCGAGGGUGUAUAAACGCUGCAGAUGCAGACACUAAACAACCUUUAAUAUUUCAAGAUCCCAAAGAGAGCCACGCUAUCCCUGAAUCUGAAGCACAGGAAGGGCCAAAGAUAGAAGCAGGAGUGCUGUGCAAGUUUAAUGCAGGUUACAGAGCUGGCAUGUGUUAAAGAUGAAGAGGUCCCUCAACAGGAAUGUGUUCCUAUUAAAGAGGAAUUCAUAGAGCAGGAAUGUGUCCCCAUCGCAGAGGAACUUCCUCAUGAAAAUCAUGUCUGUACACUUGAGGAGAACAACAAGCUGGGAUCCAACCUGUGUGAUGACUCUCCAUCUGAAUGUGAACUGGGAUUUAGAGGUAAUCCUACAAAACAAGCAGCAUUGAGCUGCCUGUUCAUCCUGGAGAACCUGGUACUGAACACCAGCAGGGUGCUUGAGAUUCAUAUUUUAACCAAGGGGAGCUGCCCAACCACUAUGUCAACAAGGACAUCACUGUGCUUGCUUCUGAGGCACCUGCUAGAUGUGCAGCCGCUGCCACGCCUCUUUAGAAUGCUGUGAGAUCAGCGGUGUCCAAUCACGCUCCUGGAGGCCAUUCCACUCCACAUUGAACAGGUUCAGUUAUAUAAAGUGCUACUCCUGUGCCUGGAUGGACACCCCUGUGUUAGAUAUUUGCCUUUCCUCAUUCCUGGUAGGCUGUUUGCAGUUCUGCUCCCACAGCUUUACAGAGCUGCAGGGAUCACAUGUCCCAUCACUGGGUGAUGCCAAAUCCAGUUGGGUUCCUCAGCAUCACCAGAAGAAACAUUUCAGUAGAGAAUUUCUGUGGAGAAUGUAUGCAGCAGGAUCAACAACAUGAGUCUUAUUUUAUUUCUUACACUUUAUGCAAAUACAAUAUCAUUUUUAAACGCUCAUCUCACUGCAACUAUCCAGAGGAUUGUAAUGUUUGCUCGCAAUGCCACAUUUCACUUUUGUGUGUCUCACAGUAAGCAUUGCUGUGUUAUUAUUGUCACAGUACACUUCUAAAGUAGAUGAAGGAGAACACGACUCCACUCUAUCACCCCAGUGCAAAAACGCUUCUAGAGGCAAACCACAGUGCAAGAAACACAGAGAAACAACACCCCAAGAAGAAAAUGUGAAGACAUUGAGAACUCACUCAGUUACAAUUCCUUCUUUACAAGACAGACACCCACUUACUGUGGAGAGUACAGAGACGGCACAUUCUGUGUGUUUUAACAAUUCUGAAUCCCAGGGCAACUUGAAGACCUUACCUCAUUCUAUUAAAGGUGGGAAGAGUUCCUGUCAAUUAGAUGUUUCUGAAACUCACAAGGGAAAUCCCUCAGGAGGGACUCCGUGUUCCUGGGCUGAUUGUGGGAAGAGUUUCAAUCAUAUAUCACUGCUUAAAAGACACCAGCGCGUUCACACAGGAGAGAAACGUUAUCACUGUGCUGUUUGUGGGAAGAGAUUCAGUCCGUUCGGAAACCACACAAGACACCAUAUCAUUCACACAUAUGUGUAAUCCUAUCCCUGCACUUAGUGUGAAGAAGUUAAGUCAGUUGCAGGCUCUUACAGGACUUGAGAACAUUCUCAGAAAUGCAGACACUUGGGGACACCUAAACAACAGGAGUGCAUUCGACUAAAUACAGAAAUAUUAACUGAAAACAAAAGAAUAAACUUGCUUGAUAAAUAGGGUCACCCCUAAUCACAAUCUGUUCAGAUCAAAAACUCACCAAAAUCUGUGUUCAUCAUGUUGUUGAGCAUUCUGAUUGUGUUACAUCACAUUAGUAUUAUAUUAAAUAGAUUGUUAUUAUGA